ensembl:lncRNA
GACCUGAUAGGGGAGAAAGCACAAAAAAAAACUCCCGGAAAGAAGCUGAAUUAGUCAUGUGCAUUAAUAAAACUUGAAUUAUGGUUUAAGAAGCAUAUCUUCCUAAAUGAAAUGAAAUUAGAAGAUUACCAUCUUUAUCUGCAUGAACUCUGCAAGAACUUUUGUGUUUUAAGGCUUUUACUGUUGUAGGAUAUUAGAAAUAAACUGACAACCCGGUUCAUAAAAUUAACAAAAAUGCAUAUAGUGUACACCAAAAUACAGCCAUGAUUCUGAAACUGUGUAAUCAAUAAAGUAAUGACCAGUGCUGUAGUAGUAAAAUUAGAGGUGGGUAAACUGAAUUUUGUGAUCAUGCAGACCUCGAUGCGAUGCGAAGCAACGCAACACAAAGCGUUGCGACUCUGUAAGGCUGUCCUGGCUAUAUUGCAUUAUGUUAUCAGUAAAAGUCAUAUACAAUCAAUGACAAUGAAAACAUGUGUUAGUAGUUUGUAGUUUAUUAAAUUUAAGAAAACAGUAAAGAAAAGUAUGUCAACACAACAACACAAUUGCAGAUUAAGAACUAUCUACAUAUGGAGUCUCCUUUUUACAGUAGUGCCCAGAGGGCCUCCUUGUCCUCCACGUCAGGUCCUGCCUUGCUCUGUGCUUCUCUCUCUAUUUGACCUGGUGUUUCUCCUCUCCCUGUGCUCUCUGCAUCAUUGCUGGUGUUUUAAAAUUACACGAAGUUUAUUUCGGAUUAUUCCAACGGAAGAAUACAAGGCGCAGGGAACUUUGAGGUGCGUAAACGCUAUUUCCAAAUUCUAGAGGUGCGUAAACGGUGUUUACAUGCGUUUACCCUCCACUACAGCCCUGGUAAUGACAAUAUUGUAAAACCACUGUAAUUCUGCAACUUUAAUAGCAUAAUACCAAUGUACAGUUAUGAUUGUAUUUGAUGUAAUGUAAUCAACUGGAAUGCAUGCAUGUAAUACUUGAACAACAACUGAUAGACAUUAGAUUGACUGAGAGACAUUCGAAAUCCGAGUUACAGUGAACUCACCAGAAGAC